AUUGAACGCUGGCGGCAUGCCUAACACAUGCAAGUCGAGCGGAGCGGCGGGCGAGUGAGUAAUGCCUAGGAAUCUGCAUGGUACUGUGGGGUAACGUCCGGUAAUGGGCGCUAAUACCACACAAUCUCAGAUGAGCCUAUGUCGGAUUAGCUAGUUGGUGGGGUAAAGGCAUACCAAGGCGACGAUCCGUAACUGGCCUGAGAGGAUGAUCAGUCACAUUGGAACUGAGACACGGUCCAGACUCCUACGGUAGGCAGCAGGGGGGAAUAUUGGACAAUGGGCGAAAGCCUGAUCCAGCCAUGCCGCGGGUGUGAGGAAGUUCUUCGGAUUGUAAAGCACUUUAAGUUGGGAGGCGUUACCAACAGAAUAAGCACCGGCUAACUUCGUGCCAGCAGCCGCGGUAAUUC
rnacentral:rRNA from 1 species